GAAAUCCAGUGUGAGUUCUUGGUUUGGUAUGUCUGGCAAAACUAGAAGAGGGAAAUGCAGGAGCCACAUCCCAACACAUCCUUCUACUGCAGAAGUGGGAAAGACUGCGUUUCGCAUGGAUUUGCUCAGAGACUAAAGGAAGCACAGGUGUGUAUUCCUGGAGAGAAGUACAACAUGAGGACUUUUAGGCAAACAUCAUACCCUCAGCAAGAGUACACUUUGUGACCUUGGACAUUAGUAUGUCUUUACCCCGAAGACCCAGUGUUUGCCCGAAGAAUGACGUAGUUUCUCCAUUUGUUUGGCUCGAGUGGUGACACCUUUAGCCUUUACACGGACCCGGUGAGAUGACUGAUUUCUCCUCUCACUGAGCAGCACUAUCUUCACUGGGUCUCUUCCUCCCUGAGCCCGUCUGUUCUAGAGCUGCAUGCCAAGCUUUGUUCAGAGUAACAUAAUGCUGCCAUAGGACUGUGGCUAGCAAGAUGGAUGUCUGCUGGCAUGAACACCUAUGGUAGAGGUGCCUACAGCUGCUUCGAAAGAGAUUGGAUUUGUGGCCAUGGACAGCAAGACUUUCAAAACUUUCAUUGCAAUACAGUAAGGCUGGGAGACCAGUGGUGGAUGGGGACUGGGAGGAGAACUGAAGCCCCGGUGGGAGAUGUCUUCAUAAUGUCUUCAUAAGGACAUAGGUUGGGAAGAUCUGAGGGCUUCAGGAAAACUGGAGGCAGGAGGCAAAGACAGACAUGCAGAGCUCAGAAGCAGCAGAGAGCAUGUUUGUCCAAGCUGUCACCAUAUCAUGGUGGGCACUAAGUACCUGAAUGACUCGGAAGAAGCUCCCAUCUGGCUCAGUGAGAAGACCCACCUCUGUUUUAAAG